rnacentral:rRNA from 1 species
CUUAUAGAAAUUUUUAUAAGUAAAAUCUGCUCAAUGAAAAUUAAAUAGCCGCAGAUAACUGUGCUAAGGUAGCAUAAUCAUUUGUUUUUUAAUUAAAUACUAGUAUGAAAGAUAUUACAUUUAAUUUCUUUAUUAAUUUUAAAUAUUAAAUUUAUAUUAAAUAUUAAAAUAUAUUUAUAAUUUAAAAAGACGAUAAGACCCUAUUAAAUUUUACUUUUGUUUAGCUGGGGAAGCUUUUUAAUAAAUACUUUAAUAUUAAAUUAUUUUUAAAAAAGAUCUAAUAAAAUUAAUUUUAUGAUUAAAUUACUAUAGGGAUAACAGCGUAAUUUUCUUUUAAAGUUCUUAUAAAAAUGAAAUUUUACGACCUCGAUGUUGAAUUAAUAUAAUCUUUAUAAAGAAGAAAUUAUAAAAGUAAGUCUGUUCGCCUUUUAAUAUAUUACA